UACAGAGGGUGCGAGCGUUGUCCGGAAUCACUGGGCGUAAAGGGCGCGUAGGUGGUGACCUAAGCGUGCGGUGAGAGCCCGAGGCUCAACCUCGGGUCGGCCGUGCGAACUGGGUCACUGGAGCAGAAUAGAGGCAGGUGGAAUUCCGGGUGUAGCGGUGGAAUGCGUAGAGAUCCGGAAGAACACCGGUGGCGAAGGCGGCCUGCUGGGUUCUGGCUGACACUGAGGCGCGACAGCGUGGGGAGCAAACAGG
rnacentral:rRNA from 1 species